GACGAACGCUGGCGGCGUGCUUAACACAUGCAAGUCGAACGAGAAGAGAUGAGAAGCUUGCUUCUUAUCAAUUCGAGUGGCAAACGGGUGAGUAACGCGUAAGCAACCUGCCCUUCAGAUGGGGACAACAGCUGGAAACGGCUGCUAAUACCGAAUGACAUGUCUGAACCGCAUGGGACGGACAGCAAAGACGGCCUCCAAACUAUGCUGUCGCUUGAAGAUGGGCCUGCGUCUGAUUAGCUAGUUGGUGAGAUAACAGCCCACAAGGCGACGAUCAGUAGCCGGUCUGAGAGGAUGAACGGCCACAUUGGGACUGAGACACGGCCCAGACUCCUACGGGAGGCAGCAGUGGGGAAUCGUUCCGCAAUGGACGAAAGUCUGACGGAGCAACGCCGCGUGAACGAUGACGGCCUCGG
rnacentral:rRNA from 1 species